CCAGACUCCUACGGGAGGCAGCAGUGGGGGAUAUUGCACAAUGGGGGGAACCCUGAUGCAGCGACGCCGCGUGGGUGAAGGAGUAUUUCGGUAUGUAAAGCCCUAUCGGCAGGGAAGAAGCAAGACGGUACCUGACUAAGAAGCCCCGGCUAACUACGUGCCAGCAGCCGCGGUAAUACGUAGGGGGCAAGCGUUAUCCGGAUUUACUGGGUGUAAAGGGAGCGUAGGCGGUGGAGCAAGUCUGAUGUGAAAGGGCGGGGCCCAACCCCGGGACUGCAUUGGAAACUGUUGAACUGGAGUACAGGAGAGGUGAGCGGAAUUCCUAGUGUAGCGGUGAAAUGCGUAGAUAUUAGGAGGAACACCAGUGGCGAAGGCGGCUUACUGGACUGUAACUGACGUUGAGGCUCGAAAGCGUGGGGAGCAAACAGGAUUAGAUACCCCUGUA
rnacentral:rRNA from 1 species